rnacentral:misc_RNA from 1 species
CGCACAUUGCGCCCAUUAGUAUUCUAGUGGGCAUGCCUGUUCGAGCGUCAUUUCAACCCAUCAAGCCCUAUUUGCUUGGCGUUGGGAGACCGCUGGGCCCCGCCCCAGCGCCUCCUCAAAUAGAUCGGCGGAGUCGUAGCGACCCAAGCGUAGUAAUUAUUUCCUCGCUUCAGGUGUUAAUAUUGACGUCCGGCCGCUAAACCCCUAUAUUUUUUUAGGCUUGACCUCGGAUCAGGUAGGAAUACCCGCUGAACUUAA